GACGAACGCUGGCGGCGUGCUUAACACAUGCAAGUCGAACGGAAAGGCCCUGCUUUUGUGGGGUGCUCGAUUGGCGAACGGGUGAGUAACACGUGAGUAACCUGCCCUUGACUUUGGGAUAACUUCAGGAAACUGGGGCUAAUACCGGAUAGGAGCUCCUGCUGCAUGGUGGGGGUUGGAAAGUUUCGGCGGUUGGGGAUGGACUCGCGGCUUAUCAGCUUGUUGGUGGGGUAGUGGCUUACCAAGGGUUUGACGGGUAGCCGGCCUGGGAGGGUGACCGGCCACAUGGGGACUGAGAGACGGCCCAGACGCCUACGGGAGGCAGCAGUGGGGAAUAUGGCACAAUGGGCGGAAGCCUGAUGCAGCAACGCCGCGUGCGGGAUGACGGCCUUCGGGUUGUAAACCGCUUUCGCCUGUGACGAAGCGUGAGUGACGGUAAUGGGUAAAGAAGCACCGGCUAACUACGUG
rnacentral:rRNA from 1 species